rnacentral:rRNA from 1 species
UACGAAGGGGGCUAGCGUUGUUCGGAAUCACUGGGCGUAAAGCGCACGUAGGCGGAUGAUUAAGUCAGGGGUGAAAUGCCAAGGCUCAACCUUGGAACUGCCUUUUGAUACUGGCCAUCUGGAGUCCGGGAGAGGUGAGUGGAACUGCGAGUGUAGAGGUGAAAAUUCGUAGAUAUUCGCAAGAACACCAGUGGCGAAGGCGGCUCACUGGCCCCGGUACUGACGCUGAGGUGCGAAAGCGUGGGGAGCAAAACAGG